UUUCCUGAAUCAUCUUUGUCGACGCAUCGCAUAAAUUACUCACUUCCCAGAUCAUCCCAUGUAACCGAUGCCGACUUCGAAUUUGUCAUGCUCGCUGAUAAAAGUAGACUGAGCCUCAACCCAUAUAUUUAUGGCGCACGACCGUUUCGUGCACCCGAGGCAACCCCAUAUGCCGUUGUAGCGCCAAUCUACCAACAGCAAUCUACUCAACAGCCAAAUGUUCAACAAACAGAUAAUGAUUCUACCAACCAUCCAGCAGAGGACAUGCAUCACCAGGUCCCUACAUUACCUACCAAUCAAUCUGAGGAACUACCAGCGUUCAUACUUCCAAUUUUGCGAACGCAUAAUGCAAAAUGGGCACUUGAUAUUUCAAAAGCCACAUCACGACUCAACAAACUGCACGCAAAGCGCAUGAACGAGUAUGCACAAGAUGUCAUUGCUGCCUCAAGAAUUCAUACUCCAACAACACCUACUUAUUCCUCGCCUGAUAGGGUAGGCCAAGACUCAUAUACUGAAAAUGCUCAAGAACAUGGGACCAAAGCUACACCCAACACCAAGUUUUGGCAGGAAGCAGCUGCAUAUGCCGAAGAGGUUGAGAAAAGUGUUUGAAAAACACCUCGUAAUAACCAGGAUGUUGCUUCUACAUCAGCUCCUGCGACGAACCAAUCCACCGGAGAGGAAGAUACAAGGCGGAGGAUUCUUGAUACGUACGAAGAUGCAAGUUUCAGCUUUCUACCUCCAGGUCAAACUUGGACCCAAGUAUGGUCCGAACCUGCUUCGUCGCCACAUCAUCCACAUACUGCCGAUGCCGCUACUGCAGUUGGACAAUCCUCAGCUCCAGAAAAUGCAGGACCAACAACCAUGUCAACAGUGGACGCAAACUUGGUGCACAUCAGUCACGGAACAUCCCCUGUACAAUCGCCACCACCAAAAUCACCAACCCAUCUCAACCAGGAAAAUGGAACCAAAGCACCUAGCAUCAUCCAUAUCGUGACCGAGGUACAACAACCCACCGUGAGGGAUAUCCCUGAAACUAUUGGCACCCAAACUCAGGAAAAGAAAAAUAGGAAGAAGCGAGCUUGUCUUCGAAAAACCGAGGACACAAGGUUGAAGAAGCUCAAGGUUAACAGUUCCUCAAUUCAAAUAUACACUAAGUACAUUACCACCAGAUGUGUGAGACCUCCGACAAAAAAGGAA